UCAAAGAUUAAGCCAUGCAUGUGUAAGUAUAAAUAUUUGACUUUGAAACUGCGAAUGGCUCAUUAUAUCAGUUAUAGUUUAUUUGAUGAAUAAUACUACUUGGAUAACCGUAGUAAUUCUAGAGCUAAUACAUGACAAAAUCCUCGACUUUGAAGAGGUGUAUUUAUUAGAAUGAAACCAAGAGACUUCGGUCUAUUUGUGAGUAAUAAUAACUAAUCGUAUCGCAUGCUUAGGUAGCGAUAUGUCUUUCAAGUUUCUGCCCUAUCAGCUUUGGAUGGUAGUGUAUUGGACUACCAUGGCAGUAACGGGUAACGAAGAAUUUGGGUUCGAUUUCGGAGAGGGAGCCUGAGAGAUGGCUACCACAUCCAAGGAAGGCAGCAGGCGCGUAAAUUACCCAAUCCUGACAUAGGGAGGUAGUGACAAUAAAUCACAAUGCGGAACUAUUAGUUUUGCAAUUGGAUUGAGAACAAUGUACAAAUGUUAUCGAUAAAC
rnacentral:rRNA from 1 species